UACAUAUUGAUGCGUAUAGGUGUCUAGCUGAUUAUUUCGGCUGACUUAAUAGGGAAGCUCGGUGCAAAUCCGGCGCGGUCCCGCCACUGUAUACAGAGAGUGACGCUUGAACGACGCCACUGAUUGUUUCGAUUGGGAAGGCAAAGCGUCACGAUGAUCUGUGAGCCAGGAGACCUGCCUAGACGUGAACACGAUC
rnacentral:ncRNA from 2 species